GAUGAACGCUGGCGGCGUGCCUAAUACAUGCAAGUCGAGCGAACGGACGAGAAGCUUGCUUCUCUGAUGUUAGCGGCGGACGGGUGAGUAACACGUGGAUAACCUACCUAUAAGACUUGGAUAACUUCGGGAAACCGGAGCUAAUACCGGAUAAUAUUUUGAACCGCAUGGUUCAAAAGUGAAAGACGGUCUUGCUGUCACUUAUAGAUGGAUCCGCGUUGCAUUAGCUAGUUGGUAAGGCAACGGCUUACCAAGGCAACUAUGCAUAGCCGUCCUGAGAGCGUGCUCGGCCCCCCUGGCUCUUAGACCGGUUCCAGACUCCUACGGGAGGCACCAGUAGGCAAUCUUACGCAGCGGGCGAAAGCCUGACGGGCCCACGCCGCGUGGGUGAUGCAGGUCUUCGGAUCGUAAAACUCUGUUAUUACGGAAGAUCAUAUGUGUAAGUAUCUGUGCACAUCUUGACGGUACCUAAUCAGAAGGCCACUGCUAACUACGUG
rnacentral:rRNA from 1 species